UUUUUAGUAGAGACAGGGAUUCACCGUGUUAGCCAGGAUGGUCUCGAUCUCCUGACCUCGUGAUCGGCCCACCUCAGCCUCCCAAAGUGCUGGGAUUACAGGCGUGAGCCACCACGCCCGGCCAAAUGUAUAAAAUAAAUUCCCAGCAUUUUCUGAUGUUAUCCACAAAUCUAAAAUAUUUGUGAUUUUUAUUUUUUUAUUUUUUUAUUUUUUAUAAAAUACAAGAGUGUAAUAAAGACAUAUCUGAGUUAUUUUCAUUUUCUAAAUGAGUUUUAAAUUCAGGUUCACAAUGAUCUAGUCAAUUUGACAUCUCUCAUAGUGGAUUAUAUCAUAGGUAGCCACAAUGUGAACAUCUGUACCUAUACUUACACCUGAUAAAUAUAUCUCAGUUCUAAUUUGUGGUGUUACCUUUAGGAGUUUAAGAAAAGGCACAUUUGGCCAAGCAUGGUGGCUCACGCCUGUAAUCCCAGCACUUUGGGAGGCCGAGGUGGGUGGAUCACGAGGUCAGGAGAUCGAGACCAUCCUGGCUAACACGGUGAAAGCCCGUCUCUACUAAAAAUACAAAAAAUUAGCCGGGCGUGGUAGCGGGCACCUGUAGUCCCAGCUACUUGGGAGGCUGAGGCAGGAGAAUGGCGUGAACCUGGGAGGCAGAGCUUGCAGUGAGCUGAGAUCGCGCCACUGCCCUCCAGCCUGGGUGACAGAGCGAGACUCCGUCC
rnacentral:lncRNA from 10 species